GGUAGCAAUAGCAAAGAUAUUCUCCUGUUCUCUAGGACCCCCUCUCGAUUAACUGUUUCUUUUUUUCUAGCAACAAAUGCUUUACAUCCCUGAGAGACCAUCUGUCAACUACAGCCAGGAUUUCUUGAGUGGCUGGUGUGUUGCUCCAUCCUGGAUUAUCUCUGAUCAUUCAACACUUUCGCAUACUCUGUGCUCUGAUAUUAUCAGGGUUACUCACACUAUUGCCUCUGAGGCACUUGGCACUUCUUUGAGAGGGUGACACAUAGGAAAUAUAACUCAUUGACUUGUUAAUUUGCUUUUAGUUUCUUGAGACAGGUUCUCUCUCCAUAACUCUGCACAUUCAGGAACUAACUAUGUUUAUCAGACUAGCCUUGAACUCACAAACAUCAGCCUGCCUCUACCUCUGCCAAUAUCUCUGCUUCUGCUUAUGACUCUGCCUCUGCCUCUCCAAUUGCCUUGGCCAUGACCCUGGCCGUGGCGCUGCCACAAGAGUGCUGAGACUAAAGGAAUGCUCGCACAAACUAAAUGGAAUCAAGUCUCUUUCUGUCUAUGUGGACUUCCAAGUUUGCCAGCAUGAUUGGAUGAAGAGGCCAUGUUGGUGCAAAGGGAGACUUCCCUGGGAAUCACACCUCAAGCCAGAUUCUCUGUUUGCUGCAGAGCAGAACUCUGUACUCCUGCAACUGGAUUACCAGAUGAGGACACCACCUGUUGAUGGUGGCAAGUCAUUAACUGCCCCCAUCCACAACCUUCAGAAUUCCUGUCAUUGCCACAAGAUCCAUGCCUGGAACAAACAGAGAAUGACAACCUGCAUGAGAUGGCAGCAAAUCUGUCAAUGCCUCUGGAUGCCUAUGAGUGCGCGAGAGAAAAACCAAGACCCAUCUCUCCUCCCUUCAGCACACCCCGACAUGCAGCAUCCCUUGCACUUCACUGAUGCUGGGAGCCUAGGGCAGAAGCUGGCUUCUGAUAACGCCUAAUUUGGAAGCACAUUAGUGGUCAGGAUGAGUCUGGAACAUGCACAGUAUGUUGGCCUCCAGCAUAGACUUGCAGACAUGACUACACUGAUGGAAGAAGUUCACCUUCCCAACUGCUCAACUCUGUCUCUGAUCUAAACUAAUUCCAGGUUCCCACAGUCACCCAAUGCAAAGGCUCCAGGUCUUCAGGAGCGAUCAGGCCCAGUAAAGAUAAGAUGUCAUCAGCACAUCCUUAAACCGGGUGUGGAAGAAUGAGGAGAAAUGCUCUAAUAUGUUUAAUGGAGCUUCUCUGGCUAGAAUCUAGUGUCAAGAUCUUGUGGAGGGAGAGAUGCUGGGGCCUGAGAAGGGGAUAUUGACAACAUGGCCCAGCAAAUGGAGGGCAAAGCUCAGAAAGCCAUACUCUGCAAGCCCAGCAGUCCUAGGGUUCAUGGGCAAGACCAGGCCAAGAGAACUAGAGAAAACACCUCCAAGAAAGCUGAAUGAACUGAAGCCAUCAAGUCACAGAGUCAAGACAGAACACAAUCCCACUAUUCUCAACACCAAGUGGAAGCAGGAUCUAUCUGAGCUCAGCCAUGGUAGCUUUAAAAGCCUUAAACCCACCUCAGCAUGUACAUGCUGGAGUCCAUGAAGGUCUGUUAUUCACUGUGAAAGAAGGAAGAGAAGAAAAAUGGUAUCUCCUGAGCCUUCAACACUUUGUACUAAUCUGUGCUCUAAUAGUAUCAGAGAUUGUCACACUUUAGCCUCUUAUGCAUUUGGCAUUUCUUUUUCCAGGGAUACAUAUUGUAAACAGAAUUCAUUUACUUAUUAACUCACUUUUAGAUUCUUGAGACAGGGACUCUCUCCACAGCCCAGCAUGUCCUGGAACUGGCUACAUUGAACAGGCAAUCACUGAACUCAAAAAGUCCUGCCUGCCUCCCCCUCUGUCUCCUCCUCCAUCUCAGCCUCUGCUUCCACCUCUGUCUGCUCCUCCGCUGCCUCAAGAGUGCUGGGACUAAAGGAUUGCUUCAAGAAGCCAAGUGCAAUCAAGGCUCUUCUGUGUAGGUGAAUAACAACAUUUCAGUACAUGACUUCAUGAGGUGGACUUGUGUACUCCAGGGUCCAUUUUUUUAUCAUACCUAAAAUCCAAAGAGAUGUGUUUACAGAUGGAACUUGACUUGGAUUCAUUUUUUCCCUACAAUCUGCCUUGUUUCAUUUGUAGGUUGUACUUAGUACAAUGCCUGGGAAGUUCUGACCUUAUAUGAUGUGUGCCUAUCCUAUCCUGGGUAUUUUGAACAUUUUGGUAAAGUUAUGAUUGCUUUUCUACUUCUAGGAAGUGGGGCAUUUGAAUUUUACUGAGGAAUUGUAUUCACGCUCUCCAUAGAGUUUUAUGGUGCACCUUUCUUCAUAAUAUCAAACCCCCAACUAUUGUGUAGGCCCCAAAUUGUUCAUUCUAAUAAGGGCUAUGUCCAGACUGACCCAUCUAGAAAAUGUUAACAAAUCCACCAUGAAAAGAUCCUACUAACUGUAUGCAAUGAUCCCCACAGGGACAAAUUCCGGUAGAAGAGAAUGAUGGAUAUCAAUGUCUUUGGGAGGCAUCAGGUUUUAUCACUCUCUGUAUGUGGUUUUCAUUAUAGAUUUGGGCACUGCCAUGAGACUACUGUGCUUCACUUUACAGCAUAAGAGCAAUAGAAAGACAUUUAAAUGUAUAUCUUCUAACCUUGAUAUUAUAAUUUUAAUCUUUAUGUUUUCAAACUAAGGGUCUCGUAGAAUAAUCCAUAUUAAACAAAGCUCAGGAAACAUUUUUCAUAAUAAAGCAAUUCACACAA